rnacentral:tmRNA from 1 species
UUUGUUGAAAGUCCAGGGUCCGAAGUCUACAUGGGGCGUGUCGGCGUGCCGACUAUGACGAUAAACGCGCAUUCACGAAGCGGACUGGACCCGGGGGCGGUACCCGGCGGCUCCACCACAAGGUCUCUUGAGGCAGAGGCUUUCUGACGGGGCCGAAACAGGAUCGACAGACGUACAGGGAUGUUGGCUUUCGUCCGGAUAGGUAUCGUUAAAUGCCUGACAUAUAGUAGAUGCAAACGAUAAUUCUGCUGAAGAGUUUGCCCUUGCUGCGUAAGCGGUGCGAGCAUCUCGCUUUAACUCCCCGGGUCUUUAGCCGCCCGGGGCGGGGUUUGUGGAGGCACCUGGCAACAGAAGCCUCCACC